rnacentral:rRNA from 1 species
AUUGAACGCUGGCGGCAGGCCUAACACAUGCAAGUCGAGCGAGCGGCGGACGGGUGAGUAAUGUAUGGGAAACUGCCUGAUGGAGGGGGAUAACUACUGGAAACGGUAGCUAAUACCGCAUACCAUCGGAUGUGCCCAGAUGGGAUUAGGUAGUAGGUGGGGUAACGGCUCACCUAGGCGACGAACCCUAGCUGGACUGAGAGGAUGACCAGCCACACUGGAACUGAGACACGGUCCAUAAUCCUCCGUGAGGCAGCCGUGGGGAAUAGUGUACAAGGGGCGCAAGCCUGAUGCAGCCAUGCCGCGUGUUGGAAGAAGGCCUUCGGGUUGUAAAGCACUUUCAGCGGGGAGGCGUUACCCGCAGAAGAAGCACCGGCUAACUCCGUGCCAGCAGCCGCGGUAAUAC